AUUGAACGCUGGCGGAAUGCUUUACACAUGCAAGUCGGGCGGCAGCACGGGGGCAACCCUGGUGGCGAGCGGCGAACGGGUGAGUAACACAUCGGAACAUGCCCAGUCGUGGGGGAUAACACUUCGAAAGAAGUGCUAAUACCGCAUACGUCCUGAGGGAGAAAGCGGGGGAUCGCAAGACCUCGCGCGAUUGGAGUGGCCGAUGUCAGAUUAGCUAGUUGGUGGGGUAAAGGCCUACCAAGGCAACGAUCUGUAGCUGGUCUGAGAGGAUGAUCAGCCACACUGGGACUGAGACACGGCCCAGACUCCUACGGGAGGCAGCAGUGGGGAAUUUUGGACAAUGGGGGCAACCCUGAUCCAGCCAUUCCGCGUGAGUGAAGAAGGCCUUCGGGUUGUAAAGCUCUUUCGGCAGGAACGAAACGGUGAGCUCUAACAUAGCUUGCUAAUGACGGUACCUGAAAAAGAAGCACCGGCUAACUACGUG
rnacentral:rRNA from 1 species